ensembl:snRNA U5 U5 spliceosomal RNA
UCACUCUUGUUUCUCUUCAUAUCGUAUAAAUCUUUCGCCUUUUACUAAAGAUUUCCGUGGAGAGGAACAUUAUGAGUAUCAACUAAUUUUUUGUGGCCCCACUUUAUCGUGGGGC